GAUGAACGCUGGCGGCGUGCCUAAUACAUGCAAGUCGAGCGAACGGACGAGAAGCUUGCUUCUCUGAUGUUAGCGGCGGACGGGUGAGUAACACGUGGAUAACCUACCUAUAAGACUGGGAUAACUUCGGGAAACCGGAGCUAAUACCGGAUAAUAUUUUGAACCGCAUGGUUCAAAAGUGAAAGACGGUCUUGCUGUCACUUAUAGAUGGAUCCGCGCUGCAUUAGCUAGUUGGUAAGGUAACGGCUUACCAAGGCAACGAUGCAUAGCCGACCUGAGAGGGUGAUCGGCCACACUGGAACUGAGACACGGUCCAGACUCCUACGGGAGGCAGCAGUAGGGAAUCUUCCGCAAUGGGCGAAAGCCUGACGGAGCAACGCCGCGUGAGUGAUGAAGGUCUUCGGAUCGUAAAACUCUGUUAUUAGGGAAGAACAUAUGUGUAAGUAACUGUGCACAUCUUGACGGUACCGAAGCAGAAAGCCACGGCUAACUACGU
rnacentral:rRNA from 1 species